rnacentral:misc_RNA from 1 species
GUGAAGAACGUAGCGAAAUGCGAUAAGUAAUGUGAAUUGCAGAAUUCAGUGAAUCAUCGAAUCUUUGAACGCACAUUGCGCCCGCCAGUAUUCUGGCGGGCAUGCCUGUUCGAGCGUCAUUUCAACCCUCAAGCACAGCUUGGUGUUGGGACUCGCGUUAAUUCGCGUUCCCCAAAUUGAUUGGCGGUCACGUCGAGCUUCCAUAGCGUAGUAGUAAAACCCUCGUUACUGGUAAUCGUCGAGGCCACGCCGUUAAACCCCAACUUCUGAAUGUUGACCUCGGAUCAGGUAGGAAUACCCGCUGAACUUAAGCAUAUCAAUAAGCGGAGGA